AUUUCCCUGUGUCCUUUCCUAUGGCUGUGGUUGGAGAGACGUAGAGAGAGGCUGCUGCGAAGUCACAAUCCAGCCACACGGCAUUGAUCCUGUCAUGGCUGGUGUGGUUGUGUCCACACGUGACCUGAACAUCCUUCCCACUCAGUACCAAAUACAGUCAAUUCUGUGGCUUGAUGGUGCGUGGACAUAACAUUCAGAUAUCGCCCAUGAUGAGGAAACAGAAGCUGGGAUAUGUGAGUAAACAUUUCCAAGGUCCUGCAGCUAAUCAAUGGUUGACAACUUCUUUCCUCUGCCUAUGUUGCCAUCCAUGUCAUGGUUUGUGUCAAGACUCUAGGAGAAGUCUACCAUCAGCACCACAGCUACUGUGCACAAAUCCAGAAUGCCAGACUGAAGUCAGAAGGAAAGAUCCUUUAUAUAUUGAAAGAAGAAAGUAGAACCAUUUCUGGGUCCCAGCUGUGGGAAGAGCUCCUGUGGCUGUGAAUUCUGACUUCUGGGUCUUGGCACAAGGUGUGGCCAGCAAGCUAAGCUGUCCUGAGGGUGUGCAGGGCCAGGGGCUGAAGACAGUGUUGGAGCAUCCACAGACUGGUUUGUCUCAAGAAGCAUGUUACUAAAUAUGAAAUAGCAAAAUCUGCAAGUGGGUUUACUUUUCCCCCAUAGAUUAGAAUGGAUUCAAUAUUAUCUCUUUAUUAGCGUCACUUUUAAUCACUUGUAUAACAAGUAGGACAGAAAGGUGGCUUGAAAGUCAAUCAUGUGAGAAUUCCAGAUAAAUUGACUUUGCUCACAACAAUCUGUUAUUCAUGUGACUAUCAACUGUCAUGUGUGCUGGGGCAAAAAAAGAAGAUAAGGAUUCACUGGUAUCAGAUAGUUCCAGGAGGGGAAACCCAGGAUUGAACUUUUUCAGCCUUCUAUGGUAAAAUUUCCUGCUCUGUCGGUGCGCCAAAGCUUUUUUCAGUUUCCUAAACUCCCAUAUUCAAGAAGAUAAGCUAUUUUCUCUUCUUUCUCAUCCUUCCUUGACAAAGCAAAGCAUAUUUUCAUUGUCUACUCUGUGUCAUCCAUGCUUGGUUCCUGUCCUCAAAGAGCUUAUAGUUCAAAUAAAGGAGAGGGAGCAUUUUACAAGGGAAUUAAAGGUAAAAGAUUCUGAAAGCCAGUUUAAAAAGUCGUGAGGGAGGGGUCUGGGAGAAGCUGAGCAGGGGUGAAAGGGUACGAAACAUUAUGGAAGGAGAACAGGGGAGCACCCUGACUACUGGGUGGAAACACCAAUCAGUGGGUAGAAACCACACAGUGGUAACACUGAUCAGUGGGUAGAAAACAAUGACAGCAGGUAUAUGAGGCAUGGAACACUUGGCUUAUUGUAAAGUUUUCAAAAUAUGCAGUCCUUUCUAUCCACCAGGGGUUGGGAGUUGUCUUUGUAUAUCAACCGUGGAAGGGCUGUUUUGGUUCAUCAUUCUGUGGUCUACCUGGGUAGACCUGAUGCAGCCGUGUUUCUGAGGAAAGGAAGAACAGCUUUUGUUUUGUGAUAUGUAAUGGUAGAUGUAGUGCCAUGGAAUGAUGCAGAUUUCAUUCAGAUAUUCUUGGAUCUUGGCCCCAGGACUCACUCAUUCUUCCCUAUAUGAGCAUUGGUAGUUACAGGUUUUAUCCUUCCUUUAAUUGUAAGUCUUUUGAAGCCAAAAACUGUAUCCAAUUUGUCACUGUCUCCUAACAGUACUUAGCAGUGUCUGAUGCAUCAUAGGGAGUUUGUAAAUGUUUGGAUAAAUAAAGGGAAAACAAAAAC
rnacentral:lncRNA from 1 species